rnacentral:rRNA from 1 species
GAAUUCCCAAUACUACCCGCUGAAUUUAAGCAUAUAAUUAAGCGGAGGAAAAGAAACUAACAAGGAUUCCCCUAGUAACGGCGAGUGAAGCGGGAUGAGCUCACCAUGUGAAUCUGCGCAACCAGCAAUGGUGCGCCGAAUUGUGGUCUGAAGAAGUAUCGUCGACCGCGAACCCGGGCCAAGUCUCUUGGAAAAGGGCAGCUGAGAGGGUGAAACUCCCGUUCUUGCCUGGGUACGUUGUGUCAUAGCAUGAUCUUUCUAUGAGUCGAGUUGCUUGGGAUUGCAGCUCAAAUUUGGUGGUAAAUUCCAUCUAAAGCUAAAUAUUGGUGGGACACCGAUAGUGUACAAGUACCGUGAGGGAAAGAUGCAAAGAACUUUGAAAAGAGAGUUAAAGAGUACCUGAAAUUGUUAAAAGGGAAGCGAAGGAAUCCAGUGUAAAGCGAAGCCAUUCUUCUCAAGCCACUUGUGGUUUGGGCGCUGUGGUUAGCUGUACUAAUUCUGGGCUUGACCUGGGACAAACGUUUAGUAAGUAGACGACUCCUCGGAGUGAGUGCUUGCUCUUCAUGUUCUGGGUCGGGCUGAGGUCAGUCACUCUGUGCUCGUGAUGAAUUAGGAAAUGGAUUUCUUUACCCCGUCUUGAAACACGGACCAAGGAGUAUUGGGAAUUC